AAUUUGUGACAGUGACAUUGAAUAUUGUAGAAUAAUGAAUGAAACUACACGACAGAAUCAUUCUCGAGCAAUUCAACAUACAAUUGACUUGUACAUUAAUAAUUUACAAGAGUCCUUGAGAAAUGGAAGGAUGACAUUGUCAGAAUAUUUGUAGGCAGUAGUUGAACGCACAAAUAUUCGACGGGAGCUGAGACAACGUGGCUCAUAAUUUGGAAGUGUAGAAAACCAAAGUUAAAGAGAUACCAGCAAAUGUAAAUUUUCUUAAAUAUAAAUAAAAGUUAUACUUAUAA
rnacentral:lncRNA from 1 species